GGCGGCGGUGUUCUCGCGGAGGAUUCUUGAUUGAUCUGGGCCUCGCAUUUUGAUUCUGGAGGCCAUGGAAGGCAGAUCGCUGCUGCGGGAGCUCCAGGUAACCCUCGCGUCCUCGCGAAAUAUUGCGUCUGGAUUGCAAUUUUCUCAAGAUCGCGGUGAAUCGGCCGCGCGUAGAGCAUCUGGGACGAGAUUGGGGAGAGCGACGAGGAGAGGGAAACUGCACCAGCUGGAGCAAGAAUGCCUGAAUGUGUGCCGGCGGACGGUGGAUGAAGCGAAUUGGGCGAGGCUGCACCAGCUCUUGGCGGAUUCCGAGUCGGAGCUCGCGUCGCGCCUGCCGCUCCUGGAUGAUCGCCCUUGCAUGGCCAUGGAAGGCGAGGACACGAGCAUCUGGGACGAGAUGGGGGAGAGCGACGAGGAGAGGGACAGAAUGCUGCUCCAGCUGGAGCAAGAAUGCCUGGAUGUGUACCGGCGGAAGGUGGAUCAAGAGAAUUGCGCGAUGGCGCAGCUGCACCAGCUCUUGGACGGAGCUCACGUUGCUGCUGUCGCUCCUGAGUGAUCGCCCUUGCAUGUUAGAGAAGAGGUCGGGCACUACUCUGCGAGAGUAGCUCUUGUCCGUCUCGCCUCAGUUAGAAUUAUUGCGGCUGACGAAAGAGGAGCGCCUGAAGCAAUUUGAGGACGUGCCAGAUUCAAAGGCUCUCUCAGGAGAUGUCGUCGGGGACAUUGCAAGGGACUGAGAAUGGAGCCUUUUGCUGGAAAGAUUUGUCGCUGAGGAAGCUGCACGAGUACCGUUGCCAGCUUCAAGAGCUUCAGGAUGAAAAGAGUAGUCGGCUUCACAAAGUGUCGGAGCUUCUCGAGGUUCUGCACGGAUAUUGCGUCCUUUUGGGGGCAGACUACACGGAAGUCUUUAAGGAAGUGCAUUCGAGCCUUUGUGAUCCAGGCCAGCUUGAGAAAUUAGCAAAGGCGGUCGAGGACAUGAAGAACGAGAAAAGCAAAAGACUGCAAAAGAUUCACAAUCUUGUUGCUCUCUUAUGCGAGCUCUGGAAUCUAAUGGACACGUCAUUGGGAAAAAGGCAACCAUUUCGAAAUAUCAUCCGCAAUCUUCUGGCACCAGAACCUGAGCCUUCAUCUCUUACUUUGAAAACCAUCGCACAGGCUGAAAAGGAGGUGGAUAGAAUAAGUCGAUUGAUAAUAAACAAAAUGAAGGAGCUUGUGCUGAAGAAGCAGGCAGAGUUGGAAGAAACUUGCAACAUGGCUCACUUGGAGUGUUCCAAAUCUAACUCGAGAAAACGUGGCGAGUUUACUGGAGUCAGUGGACUUGUCAGAGCUACUUGGUACAAUUGAAAGUAGUAUUGCCGAGGCGAAGAAAGAAUCACUCGGCAGACAAGAUCUAAUGGAAAGAAUGGAACGGUGGAUUAGCGCGUGUGAAGAAGAAAAUUGGCUUGAAGGAUACAAUAAGGAUGAAGGCCGCUUCAAAGCAACCAGGGGAGCACAUUUGAAUCGAAAACGUGCAGAAAGAGCUCGUGUCAUCGUGGCCAAACUCCCCAAUCUUCUUGAAUCAUUGAAGUCCACAAUACAACGAACGGGGUUUCUCUACUCGCAAUACUAGAAGAAUAUAGCUUGCUCGGACGAGAGAAAGAAGAAAGAGGUGAACACAAGGAGGAGGAGAAGAAGGAUUGCAACAAGCACACGAGAAUUGAGGAUCUGCGGCCAAGGAGAAUCUUCUUGGCGGGCAACACGAUCAACCCAUUUCUAUGUGGAGUGGCCAGACUGGUGACCAAGAUCACCUACUAGAAGCACUGGCUCCUCAUCACCGAGCCAUGGCAAUCGGGUAAGUUGUCGCUCAUGUACGCUCUAGCUAGUGCUGCCUUCGCCAAAGGAUAUCUGUCUGUCGUCACCACCAUGGUCGCUGCUGCUGAUGCCUGCAACACUGCUAACUGCUAAAGACAGUGAAGCUGCCGAGGAGUUCUUUGACCUCUUGAUAGAGAAGUUGGUCUAGAAUAGCCAUGGAGGAUUGCAUUGCUCGUCCCACAAAGGCUUAAGGGGCUCGUAGAUGCUCAAGUUGACUAUGGAUGGAAAGCACUUUAUCUGGUUCAUCAACGAGGCUUUAGAACUCAGCAACAUAAGGAGGUUUGUGGUAAACACAUUUAUGAUUAAGUUAAGGAUAUACAAGCAAGAGUCUGUGGUGAGGAAUUUUACAAGUUUGUGUUAUUUGUGCUAGUGGGCUGACUGGAUCUCAGGAACUUCCUUGAAAAUUUCAAGUGUCAACGAGUGCAAGUUGCAGGG